GACAGAGGGUGCAAACGUUGUUCGGAAUUACUGGGCGUAAAAGCGCGCGUAGGCGGACCUGCAAGUCGGGGGGUGAAAGCCCGAGGCUCAACCUCGGAACUGCCUUCGAUACUGCGGGUCUCGAGUCCGGGAGAGGUGAGUGGAAUUCCGUAGUGUAGAGGUGAAAUUCGUAGAUAUUAGGAAGAACACCAGUGGCGAAGGCGGCUCACUGGCCCGGUACUGACGCUGAGGCGCGAAAGCGUGGGGAGCAAACAGG
rnacentral:rRNA from 1 species